GACGAACGCUGGCGGCGUGCUUAACACAUGCAAGUCGAACGGAAAGGCCCUGCUUUUGUGGGGUGCUCGAGUGGCGAACGGGUGAGUAACACGUGAGUAACCUGCCCUUGACUUUGGGAUAACUUCAGGAAACUGGGGCUAAUACCGGAUAGGAGCUCCUGCUGCAUGGUGGGGGUUGGAAAGUUUCGGCGGUUGGGGAUGGACUCGCGGCUUAUCAGCUUGUUGGUGGGGUAGUGGCUUACCAAGGCUUUGUCGGGUAGCCGGCCUGAGAGGGUGACCGGCCACAUUGGGACUGAGAUACGGCCCAGACUCCUACGGGAGGCAGCAGUAGGGAAUAUUGCACAAUGGGCGGAAGCCUGAUGCAGCAACGCCGCGUGCGGGAUGACGGCCUUCGGGUUGUAAACCGCUUUCGCCUGUGACGAAGCGUGAGUGACGGUAAUGGGUAAAGAAGCACCGGCUAACUACGUG
rnacentral:rRNA from 1 species